rnacentral:misc_RNA from 1 species
UCAAACUUGGUCAUUUAGAGGAAGUAAAAGUCGUAACAAGGUUUCCGUAGGUGAACCUGCGGAAGGAUCAUUACUGUAGGGAUCUUACGAUCCCUGCUGAGAUAGAACCCUUUGUCUUUGUAUACCUCUGUUUCCUCGGUAGGUUCGCCUACCAGUGGGGACUAGCUAAACUCUUUUUAAGUGGUAGUAAAAGUCUAUUCUUGAAUAUCAAAACUUUCAACAACGGAUCUCUUGGUUCUGGCAUCGAUGAAGAACGCAGC